UUCUGAUGAUGACUUGCCAUGCUAAUACAGAUACCUGGACACCCAGAUGUGCUGGGAAGAAAGGAUAAACCAUGAGUUGAAGUUUCGCAUAACUGAAGAGU